rnacentral:rRNA from 1 species
CCUACGGGGCGCAGCAGUGGGGCAUAUUGGGCAAUGGGCGCAAGCCUGACCCAGCAACGCCGCGUGAAGGAAGAAGGCUCUCGGGUUGUAAACUUCUUUUAUCAGGGACGAAGCAAGUGACGGUACCUGAUGAAUAAGCCACGGCUAACUACGUGCCAGCAGCCGCGGUAAUACGUAGGUGGCAAGCGUUAUCCGGAUUUACUGGGUGUAAAGGGCGUGUAGGCGGGAAAACAAGUCAGAUGUGAAAACCAUGGGCUCAACCUGUGGCCUGCAUUUGAAACUGUUUUUCUUGAGUACUGGAGAGGCAGACGGAAUUCCUAGUGUAGCGGUGAAAUGCGUAGAUAUUAGGAGGAACACCAGUGGCGAAGGCGGUCUGCUGGACAGCAACUGACGCUGAGGCGCGAAAGUGUGGGGAGCAAACAGGAUUAGAUACCCCAGUAGUC